AACGAACGCUGGCGGCAGGCUUAACACAUGCAAGUCGAACGGGUGUAGCAAUACAUCAGUGGCAGACGGGUGAGUAACACGUGGGAACCUUCCUAGGGGUACGGAACGACUCAGGGAAACUUGAGCUAAUACCGUAUACGUCCGUGAGGAGAAAGAUUUAUCGCCCUUAGACGGGCCCGCGUCGGAUUAGCUAGUGGGUGGGGUAACGGCCUACCAAGGCGACGAUCCGUAGCUGAUCUUAGAGGAUGAUCAGCCACACUGGGACUGAGACACGGCACAGACUCCUACGGGAGGCAGCAGUGGGGAAUCUUGGACAAUGGGCGCAAGCCUGAUCCAGCCAUGCCGCGUGAGUGAAGAAGGUCUUCGGAUUGUAAAGCUCUUUUGCCAGGGACGAUAAUGACGGUACCUGGAGAAUAAGCCCCGGCAAACUUCGUGCCAGCCGCCGCCGUAAUAC
rnacentral:rRNA from 1 species